UACGUAGGUGGCGAGCGUUGUCCGGAUUUACUGGGCGUAAAGAGCGCGCAGGCGGCUGGUCAAGUCCGAUGUGAAAGCUCCCGGCUUAACUGGGAAAUUGCAUCGGAAACUGAUCGGCUGGAAGGUGGGAGAGGGUAGCGGAAUUCCCGGUGUAGUGGUGAAAUGCGUAGAUAUCGGGAGGAACACCAGUGGCGAAAGCGGCUACCUGGGACGGUACUGACGCUGAGGCGCGAAAGCGUGGGGAGCAAACAGG
rnacentral:rRNA from 1 species